rnacentral:rRNA from 1 species
UACGUAGGGGCCGAGCGUUGUCCGGAGUUAUUGGGCGUAAAGCGCGCGCAGGCGGCCUCGCGCGCCCGACGUGAAAGCCCCCGGCUCAACUGGGGAGGGUCACGCGAUACUGUUCGACUCGAAGGCAGGAGAGGGAAGCAGAAUUCCCGGUGUAGUGGUGAAAUGCGUAGAUAUCGGGAGGAAUACCAGUGGCGAAGGCGGCUUCCUGGCCUGUUCUUGACGCUGAGGCGCGAAAGCUAGGGUAGCAAACGGG